ACCAGUACACGGCUAGGAGCAAUCAGUCGGCAUUUUACAAGUACAUGGCUGAGAGCAAUCAGUCGGCCAAGUACGUGGCUGAGAGCAAUGGCUCAGGAAUGUCGACAUCCUCGGCAGCGCGCAAUCUAAAAGUUAUAUUUGACACCUGGAAAACUAAAGGAGUUGAGUGAGAUCGAUUGGUAUUUGUAGUUUCUUUUUUUUUUUCCUCAAGUGAUCUGGCGGCAUAAUUAAAAGUUAUAUUUGUUUGUCUUCAAAGUUAUUGUAUUGUCUCAAGUCCGGUAAGAUGCGCGAACUUAUAGCAUGGAUCCAUAUGAUCUGGACUAAACUAGUUUCUAAUAAAUAAGUAUAUUUUACAGUACUGAUUUUCCUACAGAAAUUGGUUAAGGUGACAUUAAUGUUCUUUAUGAUAGACGGAUAUACAGAUUUUUCGUCGAAAUUGAAAUUAGAAAUGGAUGGAUAUGCAGAAUUUUUUAAUAGAAUUUUUAUACAAAAAUUUGUAGCUCAUUACCCUCUAAAAGGAAAAAAAUAAAUUUUUGAUUUUAAAUAUUAAAUAUUAAAUUUAUAAUAUAAUAACUUUGUGAGUUAAGGUGCACAAUACCCAUAUAUUAAUAAUUAAGAAAAGAAAAAAAUUAAAAUUUGUAAAUUACCAAUUUUUUCUUGAAAUUUGAUAUUCUAUAUUAACGUAGGUGUUGCAUGGACUGGGUUAGUACAAUUGAAAGAAACUAACUAAAGUAAAACAAAAUAUCAUUAAAAUAUGGCAAGCUUCUCAUAUUUUUUAAGUGAAAAAGAGAAGAAAACUAAAAUUAAUUAUUUUUAUACCCAAAUUCUAGUGCUUGAAGGCCGCUGGAAUUGACCAUUGUAGUUUUGUCAUCCUCAUUAUUCACCGGCCAUCGUGGCCUUCCUCCAUUAAAAAAAUAAAUGACCAUUUUUUUGGACCACAACAUAUUAAAAAUAGUAUUGAUUAAUACUAAUAAAUCUCUUUUUUGAUUAUUUUGCAGUGUGAUAGUCGAGUGAGGGCAGUGCCCAUCGUAGCACUUGAACAUGUGGUAAAUUUAUGCCAGUCUUUGUAAAAUAAUUUUUAAAUUAUGUAUUAACCAGAUAGCUCAAUGAAAACUAUCGCUCACUAAAUUAUUACUUUAUUUUGUAUAUAUUUAUGAUAAUUGUUGAAAAGAAAAAUGUAAAGUGAGAUUAACGAACGUUUAUGAAUGUGGAAAUUAACACAACCAAGAUUUAUGAUGAAAUAAUUUUAAGUCAAAUGAGCAUAAAUUUGUAUAAAUAUUUUUUGAAUUGUCAUAUAUAUACAAGUUUGUCACUAAUAGUAAACUUAAUUAUGAGUAUUUUAAUAAUUCAAAAUUUUAUUUAACCAUCGGUGUAUAUAGUGUUUUUCAUAAUACAAAAUUAUAAAAAGUCUCAUCCUGAAUAGUAUAAUGCCAAACCUUUUCAAAAAUUUAUUCUAUUAUAGUCGUCUUAGUCAGUUAUAUUUAUUUCUAAAUUGAAGAUAAAAACAGUACUUCAUAUAUCAUCCAUUACUUCAUACAUUACUUAAAGUUUUUUUUUUUUUCAAUCAAAUUAUGAGCAAGUGAAAGGAUGCAAUAAAUUACGACUAAAAUUGUAAAAUUUACCAAUGGCUAUAUACAAAGUCUGAUUCUCAUGAGCUUAAAAGAUGGGCUUUGAAUGAUGUAUGGUUCUCAAAACUCUACUUUUAUUAAUAUGAUUGCCCUGCUUCCUUCAUGACGGGUAAUUUUUAGUUUCGUCCCCUGAAGUUUGGUUUAUCUCCAUUUUAAUAGGAAAUAUUAGCGUAUCUCCCACUUUUCUCCCCUGCCGUUUGUAUACCGUUUCAUAUUGUUAAUGGACGAAGCUACAAGUCUUCUCUUUCAUCAAAUCGAUCCAUAACAAAUACGAGUCUGCUUCACCUAACCAAAACACACACAUACUCCAUCUCUAAAUGCUUUGAAGAUAAACAAAUCAACCGUAAUCCUGCAACUUUAGCUCAGAGAAUCGGAUAAGAAAAGAACAGGUGAUGAAUCAAGGGUAAUGGCGCCGAGUGAGUGUCGCCUGCGGUCGGCGUUAGAGGCGACUGUCACUCAAUCGCGUACAAGGUUAGUCUUUGAAAAAACUCUUUGCAUGUUAGAAAUCAGUGAUUAGGCAUUAUUUUGUUAUUUAAAAAUGAAAAUGGGUUUAUUAGUUUGUCGAAGAAUCUGCUCUGUUGCCGGUGUUGUUUGUUGAUUAAAAUGAAAAUGGGUUUGUUGAUGUGUUGAAGAAGUUGCUCUCCUGCUGGUGUUUUUUUAUUAAUUAAAAUGAAAAUGGGUUUGUUAAUUUAUUGAAGCAGCUGCUGGCAUUGUUAUUGUGACUUUAUUUAUCCAAUUGAUGAGCUUAUGAGCUAAUAGUAUUGUUUGAUCAAGCUUGUGUUCUUAAUAGUGGAGUUGAUAUUCUUAAAAUGAAUUUAUGAUUAUGAGAAUAUGAAAAUUGAAUGGCAUCGUAGAGAUCUGGAUUAAUCACCAUCGUAUAUGUUUCUAAAUAAAGGAAUAAGCAGCAACCGAUUUGAAAGUUAAGACUUUAGGGAUAUGUAUGUGCAACUGAAUGAAUCAUCAGUUGCUAUCUUGUAAGUCAGUGCUAGCAUAUUACCUAAUGGCAAGUGAAGCUAUUUUAUGUGUAUUGCUGCCUAUCAAAAUGUUUAUGUUUGAAGUUUUCUCCUUUUGGGAAAUUGAAUGCUUCUGUGAGUUCUCUGGUAAGGGCUAUACAACUAUCUCUAAUAGAUUCCUUCAUGUGCAUUAAUUAGCUUAGUAGUUUAUUGACCUAUAUCCAAUGUCUAUUCUCCUUUUCUGUAGCCGUCUAGUUUUAUGAGUGUGUGAAGUGAACUUUUGUUUUAUGUUUCAGGACUUGGGAUUAGAGUGUAUAACAUUCAAUAUCUUUAUAUCAAAGAACUGAUAUAUGUCAAUGUAGUGCGAUCUGGUCUUUAUUAGCUUCUUGAUUUGCCAGGAUGUUUGACAACCAUCUUUGACCAUGAUUGCCAACAUAUAAGCUGCUACAUAGUGUCUCAGGAAUCACAGCAAAUUAUUAUCAUAAUAUGGUGAUUUUGAAUCCAAAACUUGGUAGUGUCAAGAAAAUAGACCCAUGUUUAUUUAUCUUCAUGUUUUGUAUGCGCCUGCAAUAGACUAUUAUAAGUUACUUUUAGUUUUAUCAAGUUUUUUUUUCCUUAAAUUUCAUCGAGUCUUGGAGUCUUUGUAAUAUAGAGUCUAAGUGAAGAAUACUUGGGUGAAAUCUUGUAUUCUCUCUUCCAGUAAUAUAAUCAUCCUUUGUGUUUUUAUCUUUUUAUUUUGGUAUCAGAGCAUACUUUAUUAUAGAAGGACUUAGACUCUAUAUUACAAAGACUCAGCGGUUUCUUUUAACUGAGUUAAUAGUGUUGUUAGGUUAAACUAAGUUUGGCUUCAUAAGAUUCAUAGUAGAGUGUAGAACUGGGUACAAUUUUGGGUUAGACAAGUCAAAAGUCUUCUCAAGUAAUUGUUCUGCUUACUGAUUUGGUAAUUGCAACAUUGCUAAAUAGUUCAAUUUGUCCUUUUAUUUUGUUGAAUUUAUUGUAUGUCAUAUUACUUCAUUUAAUUAUUUUCUCAGAUCUUGUAGGUGAAAAUUUCAGCUUCAAAGGCCAAGCUAAUCAUCCAGCAAUUCAGUGAAACCAAGACACAGUGGCUCAUAAAUUGUUGUUGGUGAUCCAGCCAUUCGGGUGCUUGCCAGUCCUAGACGAGAAAACUUUCAACGCGGCGCAUAAAUUGUUGUUGAUCUACUUUAUAUAUUUUGACCUUUGUGAUUUGUGAAUACAUGGUUUGAUUCCAGUGUUUACAACUUUGAUACUGUGUAUAACUUAAAAAGCAAAUGAAACAAAUAGGAAAUGUGUUUUUAUUUUUUUUAUUCUAUCUAUCUAUUUAUAUUUUGUUUGGAAAUGUAACAAUUUAUAGCUGGCAAAGUACUAGAGUUGUAUACUUGUAUUUAAUUCAUUAUUAUUAUUUUUUUAAUGAUGACUCAGUAAUGUCGUUGUCCAUGGUGUUUUGUCAUUUUGAGAGUACUUAACCCUUGGACGCUAAGGCACAUUACAGUAGCCGAAAUUUUGAGCUUUCAGUUCUUGAUUUUAGCGUGAGGGGUAUCUUUGUCGUUUCAGUUGUCAACAAACAAUUUGUUGGGGGGGGGGGGGGGGGGGUGGAGAUACGCUGAUACUUUCUAUCAUACUGGAGAUACACCUAACCUCAGGGAAGGAAACUGAAAUUUCACCUUUACGACGGGUGGACUUGGGUCAAACUUUCAUAUUCUAAUCAAGUAGGUCGAUCACGAUUCAAGCUUCAGUCAUAAGCCUUUCGUUAUGAUUGAUAUUAUUCUUUCUUGAUAGUAUCAUGGAAAAUGCAAACGAAAAGUCAGCAUCUUUGAGUUUUGUCUCAUCAUAUCCGACUUGUUGGUCUACUAAUCAAUCCACAGACCCUUGUGAUCUUGGUAAUUUGAACUUAAGGAGGCAAAGCAGCAAUCCUAAAGAGCCAUUGCUUGAUGCUGAGAUCGUUGUUGACGGCAAAUCAGUGGCAGUUAAUCGCAGCAUAUUGUCUGCACGCAGUCGUUUUUUUCAUUGGCUUUUUCAUUUGAGCAGUGAUGGUUCUGUGAGUGAGGGGAAACCCAAGUAUCUUAUGACUGAUUUGGUGCCUUAUAGGAAGGUUGGAUAUGAAGCUUUUAAUGAUAUCUUGCAUUAUCUUUACACUGGAAUGCGUAAGGCACCUCCUUCAGAAGUGUUCACGUGUGUUGAUGAUACUUGUGUUCAUCUUGUUUGCCCUCCUGCUAUUAAUUAUGUUAUUGAGUCGAUAUAUGCUUCUGCUGCUUUUAAGAUGACAGAGGUCGUUUCGGUUUAUGAGGUAGUUGCGCUUCCCCGCUACUUGUAUUGCUUAAAUUUAUGCUUAUUGGUAUAGUUUUAACAUAUGUGGGAUUGAAAUCAAUUUCAGUUGUGACUUGCAAAGAGCCAAAGAAUCUGUUGUUUUAUUUUGAAAGAGACAAAGAUGAUGAUGAUGGGCAGUGAACUCUAGGAAUCAAUGCUUGCUGACACUGACACCCAAGAAUGAUAAAAACUAACCAAAAAGGUAUAUAGAUUACAUGAGUCUGAAUUUGAUAAGUGCACCUAUCCUAUCACAAAAAGCUUUUGCGUUGAGUUUCGAACCAAGGAAAAUUGUCACUUCUGUCUGUAGGCUUCAUAGAUUUGUUCAAGCCUUCAAGGAUGUCUAGCUGUUACUUAGGGUCCAACAAUGGUGCUACAUUUCUAGUGGAUGAUAUGUUAUCUACAUCUGUAUAUUGGAACUUUGACAAACUUCGCCUUUCCUUUGUUGAUACACUCGUCUCACUUUUAUUAAAUUGCCUGAUUAUGAAAUGGUCUAUUGGAGACUAGCAAUGGAAGGUUUCUUCUGGAGAAAAUUUUACUUGCCACCAAUUUUCAUUUUGGUCGGUGUCAGUUCAUGCGCUGGCUUGAUUGUUCUGUUAUUUAGGUUGUUUUAUCCGUAUUUUCUCACUAUCUUGAUAGUUAGUUCUCUAAUGCUUUCAAGCUCAACAGCGAAUGCGAGAGAUUCUCUUUGUCCUGUCCAGGUUAUAACCUAGCAAAUCAUUAAUGCUGUAGAAUAACAUCUUGCGUAGAUGAGCUCGUGUCUCUGAACAUUGGUCCAUCGGCAUUUAGGUUCGAUAAGCAUGGCAUUGAUUUUCCCCCUCAUUGUUAUUUUCCUGCACAGAUUAUCCCCUUUAAGUAUUUGAAUUUUGAAUACAUUAUUCUGAAUCAAAACUCUAUACGUCCGUGUAGCAUUUUAUAUAUGCUUUAUGAUAUUUACCAAUAAUUACCCACUGCGAGGUAUUUGAAUUUUGAAUAUAUUAUAUAUUAUUAACUUUUGCACCCUUCUAUACAUGUAUUAGUUAAUUAUAAAGAUAUUUAUAUACUUUAUUAACUUUUGCACCCUUCUAUUUACUGAUUAUCUUUAUAAUUAACUAAUACAUGUAUCCAGGUUUCUCCUUCCAAUUGGAAUUCCUUUAUAGUGCUCUGUUAGGUGUAAUCAGAUGUAUCAAAAGAGAAAGGGUAAUUGUUAGUACAUUGAUAUCUCAACAAAAUGGUAGAACCUUUCUUUAUACCACUAAGACAUUUGUCGCAGAUAUGCCUACAUAAUCAGUGUCCUUCAAAACUUUCAAGGAGUUAGCAAUGCCUAACCCCUGAAACACUAAAUCUCACGGGAUCAACUCUUUACAUCUAGACCGAAGGUGUGACACCCAGACCCAAUUAGGGCUUAGAACACAUAUUGAAUCUGAGUGAAACUAAAUGCCUGUAAAUCCAAAUCUCCAAAAUAUCAAAAAGUCAUCUACUUUCUCUUUUCAUGUAUUUCACAAAAUUUUGAAAAAUUCAUUCUCAAUCAUAAACUAUGCACAGCUAAUUAUUCAGCAUAUCAGUAUAGAGCAAUACUUCCUCAUAAGCAAAUAAAUCUUACAAUCCUUCUUACAUGAUUUUAAAAAAAAUACUAAUAGAAGUCUUCUAGAUACAAACAUAAACAGAAUUCAACUGUUUAAAACUAUGCCAAAACACAAGCUUCAAUCAGUAAUACAUACGACUAAUUAUUAAAAACAUCUAGGCAGAAACCUUACGAAAGCUCAAUCUUUCUGAAGCAUUCUUCAAAUUAAAAAUUGCUACCAUCUGUGAAAAAUAAUUGACAAGGAGUCAGCUGUGAACUCAAUCAGUAGAAACAUUCGUAAUGAACAAAAAGAAUUCUUUGUGCAAUAUUUUCAGAAAAUUCAUUUAACCUUUCAAAUGAAACAGAGUAAUUUUUCUAACGCAGUCAGGAUUUAUAUAAAACACAAACGUUUCAGACAAAAGCUGUGCGGAAUUUAAAUUUUGCUUCUUUAAACAGAAAGUUAUAUAUUAGUUUGAUUUUAAAGGGAGGUUAUUGGGAAGUUAAAAUUGGCAGUUGUGGGAAAAGGGUAAUAGCAGUUAUAAAAUCUGUUUUAAAGCAAAUUCAAAUCAAGUUUCAAAUUUUAGGAGUACUUAAUUCAAUAAAAUAAGGAAUAAAUAAAGCUUUCAUUGAAACAAAACUAAGUAAAUUCAUUUAAAGCAAAAAAGGAUGGGAGCAUUACUAUGGGUUCUUAUGUUUACCCGCAGUCAGACAUCUGGGGACCUUGUUAUUUGGAGACAAGACUUGAUUGUGCCAUGUUUUCCGCAGCUAGACAUCUGUGGAUAAGAGAACCCUAAGCCUAUUUAGAAUAAAUUCUGUAAUCCAAGACUCUUCAGUUCUUUCAUUUGUGGCUAAUUAGUUAUAAAAUUUGUGAAUUUCAUGCCCCAUGCCCCUUGCAAAAUGCCAGUUGUUGAACUGAAAUAAUAAAAAAUGGAAAACAGACUUAAUGCCGAUAGCAUUUCUUAAGAAAAACUUGGGAUGUUUAUAAUUUUCUUAGAGCAUUUGCUGAACUUUCUGUGAUCGCAGUCGAGACGCGUGACCUCUACUUCCCUCAUUGCUCAGAAGUGGUUGAUCGCUUUUUGGAUUUGAACAAUCCUGCCACCCCAGAAAUGGACGACGAGAAACUUAAAGCAGACAUGCAGGAGGCAUUCUGCAAGGACGUGGCUUAUCACCGUCGUUUAGGGCUGCCAUCAUCCCGGCCGGCAUUUUACCAGUACACGGCUAGGAGCAAUCAGUCGGCAUUUUACAAGUACAUGGCUGAGAGCAAUCAGUCGGCCAAGUACGUGGCUGAGAGCAAUGGUUCAGGAAUGUCGACAUCCUCGGCAGCGCGCAAUCUAAAAGUUAUAUUUGACACCUGGAAAACUAAAGGAGUUGAGUGAGAUCGAUUGGUAUUUGUAGUUUCUUUUUUUUUUUCCUCAAGUGAUCUGGCAUAAUUAAAAGUUAUAUUUGUUUGUCUU
rnacentral:lncRNA from 1 species